UCAGCGGUGCCUGAAGACAGGCGCGUGUCUCCAGGACGCACGAACUUGGCGAACGUUUCGUCAUCGCUGAGCC
rnacentral:tRNA from 1 species